rnacentral:rRNA from 1 species
CGCACGGGUGAGUAACACGUAUCCAACCUGCCGUCUACUCUUGGACAGCCUUCUGAAAGGAAGAUUAAUACAAGAUGGCAUCAUGAGUUCACAUGUUCACAUGAUUAAAGGUAUUCCGGUAGACGAUGGGGAUGCGUUCCAUUAGAUAGUAGGCGGGGUAACGGCCCACCUAGUCUUCGAUGGAUAGGGGUCCUGAGAGGAAGGUCCCCCACAUUGGAACUGAGACACGGUCCAA